UCUCACAAUUCAGUAUUCUUAUUUAUCUUGUCUCACAUUUUUUUGGGCCACAAAAGGAUCCCAAUAAUGAAAUAUCUAUUCCAUAUAGGAACACAGUGGAGCCUGUUCAAAAAAAUUGAUUGUACCUAAGUUGUAUUUUCCUGGCAAAAUUUGCUAGAAUUUAGAAGAAGCCAUUCCACUCAAUUAUUUAAAAUCGAAGAAAUUAAACUGCAAAAUAUAAUUUUGAUGUUCCUCGCGGCCGCUCAAGACGCUCAUUCAAAACCAUGAUUCAGUGCACAAAUUUGAAAUUGCUACCCACUACCUUAACACCCGUUCUCUUGGCUUUGUGGCGAGAAAUAAACCUUAACAGUACUCUGAUUCUUCUUCUUCGUGUGAAAAUUUGAACUGAUUUGUUUGAGAAAUUUUGAGAGGGUGUCUUUCCGAGGGGAAAAGUGCUAAAGCAAGCGCGAGGAUGAAGAGGAGAGACGAAGGCGUGACAAACAACAAACAGAAGAUUUACCUGGGAACGAAGAAGAGAGGGAAAGGGGCCAUAAAGUUUGAUGAAAAGAGAAAAGGGGCCGUGAAUGAUAUCUGCUGGUGUUGGCUGUGAAUGAUAAAUGUUGUAUCUGGUGACUUUGGUCUACACUUUUCUCAUCAACCAAGCUACAAAAAGGACAUUGCCAUCCUAAAAUCCAUGCAUAUCGAGGGGAUAUCCAUCAGUUUAAAGCCAACAAUAUUCACAGAUUUUUUUCGCUUCUGACAAACAUAAGUUUCAAACACCAAAAGCAAAGAGUUAAAAAAAGAGUAGGAAAAGUUGUACCAAUUUGUUGCCGGAGAUGAAAACAAAAGUGUGAAAUGUUUGGUAUUUGUUCAUGAAUUUCUUUUUCACUGGAAAGAAAAAUUGUGCCAAUUGGUAGCCAGGAGAUGAAACAAUCUCAGAAAGUUUGUUGUUUGUCCAUGAAUUUCUUUGACCAAUUUAUUUCUCUUGUAAGUGCGAAAAUCUUCAUAACCCAAAUUCUGUUAUAAAUAUCCCAAGUAGUGGAUAUCCAUUAA